CUUUCCCUCUUUCUUCAGGCCUAACACAUGCAAGUCGAGCGGAUGAAGGGAGCUUGCUCCUGGAUUCAGCGGCGGACGGGUGAGUAAUGCCUAGGAAUCUGCCUGGUAGUGGGGGAUAACGUCCGGAAACGGGCGCUAAUACCGCAUACGUCCUGAGGGAGAAAGUGGGGGAUCUUCGGACCUCACGCUAUCAGAUGAGCCUAGGUCGGAUUAGCUAGUUGGUGGGGUAAAGGCCUACCAAGGCGACGAUCCGUAACUGGUCUGAGAGGAUGAUCAGUCACACUGGAACUGAGACACGGUCCAGACUCCUACGGGAGGCAGCAGUGGGGAAUAUUGGACAAUGGGCGAAAGCCUGAUCCAGCCAUGCCGCGUGUGUGAAGAAGGUCUUCGGAUCGUAAAGCACUUUAAGUUGGGAGGAAGGGCAGUAAGUUAAUACCUCGCUGUUUUGACGUUACCCACAGAAUAAGCACCGGCUAACUUCGUG
rnacentral:rRNA from 1 species